rnacentral:tRNA from 1 species
GCGCCCGUAGCGUAACGGAUAGCGCAGUGGCCUCCGGAGCCAUACGUGGCCGUUCAAUUCGGCUCGGGCGCACCA